AGCGAACGCUGGCGGCAGGCUUAACACAUGCAAGUCGAACGGGCGUAGCAAUACGUCAGUGGCAGACGGGUGAGUAACGCGUGGGAACGUACCUUUUGGUCGGAACAACCCAGGGAAACUUGGGCUAAUACCGGAUAAGCCCUUACGGGGAAAGAUUUAUCGCCGAAAGAUCGGCCCGCGUCUGAUUAGCUAGUUGGUGUGGUAACGGCGCACCAAGGCGACGAUCAGUAGCUGGUCUGAGAGGAUGAUCAGCCACAUUGGGACUGAGACACGGCCCAAACUCCUACGGGAGGCAGCAGUGGGAAUAUUGGACAAUGGGCGCAAGCCUGAUCCAGCCAUGCCGCGUGAGUGAUGAAGGCCCUAGGGUUGUAAAGCUCUUUUGUGCGGGAAGAUAAUGACGGUACCGCAAGAAUAAGCCCCGCUAACUUCGUGCCAGCAGCCGCAGUAAU
rnacentral:rRNA from 1 species